rnacentral:rRNA from 1 species
AACGAACGCUGGCGGCAUGCCUAACACAUGCAAGUCGAACGAGAUCACUCGAGGUCUAGUCGCUUACGGGUGGGUAACGCCUGGGGAUUUGCGCUUAGAUCCGGAAUAACUGUUAGAAAUGACUUCUAGUACCGGAUGAUGACGUUAAGUCCAAAGAUUUAUCCCGUUAGGAUGAGCCCGAGUAGGAUUAGUUAGUUGGUGUGGUAACGGCGCACCAAGUCGACGAUCCUUAGCUGGGCAGAGAGGAUGGUCAGCCACACUGGGCCUGAGACACGGCCCAGAAUCCUACGGGAGGCAGGAAAGGCGGAUCCAGCAAAACCGCGUGAGGCAUGAACCAGCUCGGCUGGGUGAGCGCUGAUGGCGUGAGAGAAGAAAAGCUCGUUUACCCGGGAUGAUAAUGACGGUACCGAAAGAAUAAGCCCCGGCUAACUCCGUG